AUGGCCUCGGAAGUGGUGUGCGGGCUCAUCUUCAGGCUGCUGCUGCCCAUCUGCCUGGCAGUAGCAUGUGCGUUCCGAUACAAUGGGCUCUCCUUUGUCUACCUUAUCUACCUCUUGCUCAUUCCUCUGUUCUCAGAACCAACAAAAACGACAAUGCAAGGACAUACGGGACGGUUAUUAAAGUCUCUGUGCUUCCUCAGUCUUUCCUUCCUGUUGCUGCACGUUAUCUUCCACAUCACAUUGGCGAGCCUUGAAGCUCAACAUCGUAUUGCACCUGGCUACAACUGCUCAACAUGGGAAAAGACAUUUCGGCAGAUCGGCUUUGAAAGCUUAAAGGGAGCUGAUGCUGGCAAUGGGAUCAGAGUGUUUGUACCUGACAUCGGGAUGUUCAUUGCUAGUCUGACCAUCUGGCUUCUCUGUAGAAACAUUGUUCAGAAACCUGUGACAGACGAAGCAGCACAGAGUAACCUGGAGUUUGAAAAUGAAGAAUUGGCUGAAGGAGAAAAAAUUGAUUCAGAAGAGGCACUGAUCUAUGAAGAGGAUUUAGACGGAGGAGAUGGUGUUGAAGGCGAGUUGGAAGAAAGCACGAGGUUAAAAAUGUUCCGCAGGCUUGCCUUUGUGGCCUCUAAGCUCAAAGAGUUCAUUGGCAACAUGAUCACCCUGGCUGGGAAAGUGGUUGUUACCAUCUUACUGGGCUCCUCGGGUAUGAUGUUGCCGUCUUUGACAUCAUCUGUGUAUUUUUUUGUAUUUUUGGGUCUGUGCACCUGGUGGUCCUGGUGCCGGACGUUCGACCCAUUGCUGUUCAGCUGCCUCUGUGUUCUGCUGGCUAUUUUCACUGCUGGACAUUUGAUUGGACUUUAUUUAUACCAGUUCCAAUUCUUUCAAGAAGCAGUUCCACCCAGUGACUACUACGCAAGGUAAGAGAAAUCUUUAUGGCAUUUCAAGGAGAGGUUGUCCCCCCACGCCUUUGGGACCUUGGUUUGGCACUGUGAAUGUGCAGGAUCAUUCUUGAUGGCAGGCAAUUGCUGUGUUAAGCAAAGAUUCUGUGGGGGUGGGUGAGGCAGUCUGGCACUUUCAUUGUAUUGGAUGACACAGUCUGGAAGGAGGACAGUGGUCUCCUCAGAUGGAGAUGCUGCCGGGAUGCAGGAGGACAGGGAGCUGUCAUGUGCAGGAAUGAAACAGACCCAGUAGUCUCAGCCGGGGAAGAAGUUCAGGAAGAACAUUUUACACUGAAGAACAGUAAGGAUGUGUCACAGCAUCCAACUAGAAAGACGUCUCACGGGCCCGAUAUACGAGAACAAAUUGAGCAUCAGAAACAAUAACUAAUUGUAAAAAACUUAAAAAUAAAAGCCCCAGCCUGGGCAACAUGGUGAAAUCCCUUAUCUACAGAAAAUUAGCUGGGCAAGAGGGCGCACACCUGUGGUCUCAGCUACUCAGGAGGCUGACGUGGGAGGGUCACCCGAGCCUGGGAGGUCGAGGCUGCAGUGAGCCAUGAUCACACCACUGUACUCCCGCCUGGGUGAGAGUGAGCCCCUGUCUCCAAAUAAAUAAAUGAAUAAGAAAAUACGUAAGUCUCUGGUAUGAGAGAGAAAGGGAGAGAGA
ensembl:lincRNA